GCAAACUUGGUCAUUUAGAGGAAGUAAAAGUCGUAACAAGGUCUCCGUAGGUGAACCUGCGGAGGGAUCAUUACCGAGCUCUCGCCCCCCGGGCGGAUCUCCCACCCACUGUGAUCGCUACAGAUGUUGCCUCGGCGGGCCGCCCAGGCGCGCCGCCUGGGCCCACCGGCCUCCCGGUGUGCGCGCCCGCCAGAGGCCCCCCCAAACGCUGAUGUGUAGUGUCGUCCGAGUCCUAUACAAUCGUGAAAACUUUCAACAACGGAUCUCUUGGUUCUGGCAUCGAUGAAGAACGCAGC
rnacentral:misc_RNA from 1 species